AUAGAACUGUGAGAUAAUAAUAUGUAUUUUUUUAAGCUGCUAAAUUUGUAGUAAUUUGUUACAGCAGCAAUGGAAACAAAUAUACCCAAGUUUCACAUAAAUAUGCGCACCCUCACUGUCUAUCCUGGUGGUGACUUGUGCUGGGAAUGUCAUGAAUUUUUUCCAUAUGACCACCCAUACUUCAGAUCCACACUGAUGUAAAGAUUUAUGAAGUCUGUUGAGCUUUCCGAGGGCCGUCAUUUCUUCUGCCCUCUCCCUGACCUCAGUCUGGUUGCACUAGGGGUAGGGGUCUUAGUUUGCCUUAUUUUCCUCUUACCUGUAUUUUAUCAGUGAAGGAAUGCAGAGGACUGUGGAGAUGGGACUUCUGGCAGUGCAGAGAGCAUAGGCAGAAAUGGGAAAUCACUUGGUUGUGGUGAAUUAGCUUGUCACCUGAGGGACAGGGGGAAUUAGCACAGAGGGAGCUCCCACCAGGGCACUGAACUCCUAUAUUAGGUUCUCCAGGUUGAGAUGUGUGAGUGCAAAGAGUGAAACUGCAUUUGGAAAUCCUGAGGUCCUUAGAGCAAAGGAGCUCGGCCUCCAUCCUACAGUAGCAAGAAUUGUUGGAGGCUCUCAGCAGGGGUCCUGGAUUCUCCAAUGACAUAUUUAUUCUUUCUCUUCUGCAUCUCUGUUGAAGCACGUGUGCUCCUUUUACCAAUUAUGAGAUUUUUUUCUGAUCUUCUGUCUAACAAUAACUUACUCUGAGCAGACACUCUGUAGUCUCAAUAUGUAAUAUUUUUUAUCUAUGUGCAGCUGCACACCUGUGCUAUAGCCUUGAGGCCUGAAUAGAAGCCGACUUCUCCACUGGGAGGUUUCCCUACAUUACCACUCUGUGAGUUAGAAGCUUCUUCUAUCCCAGUGCCUGACUCUAACAAUCUGAACUGAUGAAAGUUCGGCGAGUUCCAGGUUCUUGUCCCACGACCAAGAGGAAUAACACGCGUGGACACUGGAGAUUGAGGAAACUGAGACACAAAAAGACACAAAAGACGCAUACCCAGCUUUAGUGUCUUGCCCAAAGAAUCCAAGGCUCUCCAGUGCUGGAUAGGUUUUUUUAAUCCCCAGAGGAGCUAGAGACACCUUAAAUGCUAUGCCAUUUGCACCCAAGCAUGAAAAGUCUUCCCGGUAGCCAAAAAAUGUAAUUUAAUUCACUCCUACUUGGAUUUCCACCUGGACUUCAUCAUGCAACAAUGAGAAAAGAACAUGUUAAAUGCCUACAGCCUAUAUAACAUUUUUAAUGAAAUGUUGGUAUGCCCCUCUACCAAAUGGUCUAAAAAGACAAAACCCUUCUGCAAAGUAAAAAGCUAUUUGUGGGAAUCAGAAAGAUAUGUGGCUUUAAGCAAUAUGUCUAUUUAAGCAAAAUAUCAGGGGUUCUUCAUUUAAUAAAUGUAUGUUCACAGUCAGAACAUCUAAGUAAAAGCAUAUAUGGAAUUAAAGUUCAGUUUAAACAGUAA